CUCUAUGGUUGCUGGUGCUGAGAAAUGCCUCGAUGACAUUUUCAUUGUUAAAAAUGGACUAUGGAAACAAGAUCAGUCAACAUGUGUGAGUGCACCUUCACCAAUCCCACAAAUGCCUCUGCUCUCACGAAUUUAUUACCGUUGGGAGAGCCUCAGCAAGACAGUACUUGAUGCAUUGGAAGCAGACAAUGUUCUGCUUCCCUCUCAACGACAGGAAGUGGCACACAUGGCAGCGUCAUGGCCCUGCAUAUCCAUUGAAGGUGGGAGGCACUCCUGAUAUUUAUUCACAGGCACCUGGUUGGUAUCAUUGAGAACGAAGGGAGCCAGCAGGCAUAAAAAAAUCAAGAGGGCUACAUACAUAAAUGCGUGAGGCAGUGA